rnacentral:rRNA from 1 species
GAUGAACGCUGGCGGCGUGCCUAAUACAUGCAAGUCGAGCGAACGGACGAGGAGCUUGCUUCUCUGAUGUUAGCGGCGGACGGGUGAGUAACACGUGGAUAACCUACCUAUAAGACUGGGAUAACUUCGGGAAACCGGAGCUAAUACCGGAUAAUAUUUUGAACCGCAUGGUUCAAAAGUGAAAGACGGUCUUGCUGUCACUUAUAGAUGGAUCCGCGCUGCAUUAGCUAGUUGGUAAGGUAACGGCUUACCAAGGCAACGAUGCAUAGCCGACCUGAGAGUGUGAACGGCCACACUGGAACUGAGACACGGUCCAGACUCCUACGGGAGGCAACAGUAGGGAAUCUUCCGCAAUGGGCGAAAGCCUGACGGAUCAACGCCGCGUGAGUGAUGAAGGUCUUCGGAUCGUAAAACUCUGUUAUUAGGGAAGAACAUAUGUGUAAGUAACUGUGCACAUCUUGACGGGACCUAAUCAGAAAGCCACGGCUAACUACGUG